ensembl:misc_RNA Y_RNA Y RNA
GGCUGGUCCGAGUGCAGUGGUGUUUACAACUAAUUGAUCACAACCAGUUACAGAUUUCUUUGUUCCUUCUCCACUCCCACUGCUUCACUUGACCAGCCUUUU